rnacentral:rRNA from 1 species
UACCAGCACCCCGAGUGGUCGGGACGAUUAUUGGGCCUAAAGCAUCCGUAGCCGGCCUUACAAGUCCUCCGUUAAAUCCAGCUGCUUAACAGAUGGGCUGCGGAGGAUACUAUGAGACUAGGAGGCAGGAGAGGCAAGCGGUACUCAGUGGGUAGGGGUAAAAUCCGUUGAUCCAUUGAAGACCACCAGUGGCGAAGGCGGCUUGCCAGAAUGCGCUCGACGGUGAGGGAUGAAAGCUGGGGGAGCAACCGG